AUUGAACGCUGGCGGCAGGCUUAACACAUGCAAGUCGAGCGGAGAUGAGGUGCUUGCACCUUAUCUUAGCGGCGGACGGGUGAGUAAUGCUUAGGAAUCUGCCUAUUAGUGGGGGACAACAUUCCGAAAGGAAUGCUAAUACUGCAUACGCCCUACGGGGGAAAGCAGGGGAUCUUCGGACCUUGCGCUAAUAGAUGAGCCUAAGUCGGAUUAGCUAGUUGGUGGGGUAAAGGCCUACCAAGGCGACGAUCUGUAGCGGGUCUGAGAGGAUGAUCCGCCACCCUGGGACUGAGACACGGCCCAGACUCCUACGGGAGGCAGCAGUGGGGAAUAUUGGACAAUGGGCGGAAGCCUGAUCCAGCCAUGCCGCGUGUGUGAAGAAGGCCUUUUGGUUGUAAAGCACUUUAAGCGAGGAGGAGGCUACUAGUACUAAUACUACUGGAUAGUGGACGUUACUCGCAGAAUAAGCACCGGCUAACUCUGUGCCAGCCGCCGCCGUAACAC
rnacentral:rRNA from 1 species